UACGUAGGGUGCAAGCGUUGUCCGGAAUUAUUGGGCGUAAAGAGCUCGUAGGCGGUUUGUCGCGUCUGCUGUGAAAACUCAGGGCUUAACCCUGAGCCUGCAGUGGGUACGGGCAGACUAGAGUGUGGUAGGGGAGAUCGGAAUUCCUGGUGUAGCGGUGGAAUGCGCAGAUAUCAGGAGGAACACCGGUGGCGAAAGCGGCGCACUGGACCACUACUGACGCUGAGGAACGAAAGCUAGGGGAGCAAACAGG
rnacentral:rRNA from 1 species